UGUAACUAUUUCCUAGAUUGAACAAUAUCUCUUUAUCUAUAUUUGUAAAUAAAAUAUUUAACCAUUUACAGUUAGAACUAAGCUAUUUUCUUAUCCAUGUACAUUUUAAAGCUAUCAUAAAUAGAUUAAUAUUUAUCAUCUUUAAACCACCAUUCUUAUAAUCCAUGUGUAACACUUCUUUUUGUACUCUAUGAAAUAUGUACAAAUUAUUAAUCUUAAAGUUAUAUCUCCACAAGAUUAGAAUUGCAAAUUAAAAAAUUACACUCAGACAAGUCGGCUGUUUAUUUUUUUUUUUUAGUUUAUAUUGUAAAAACAAAUGCACUGGAUAAAAAUCCAUUGAUUCGUUUCAACAGUCUCCGUUUAGUUUAAUAUAAAUAAGAAGAUUAUGUAUGAGUGCCAAUGAGACAACUUUCCAUCCAAGUCACAAUGUAUAAAAAGUUAACAAUUAUAGGUCAAAGUACAGCCUUCUGUAUGCUUAGAUUAUUUGUUCGUAUAGAAUAUUUGAUGCCUUUAUUAAUUAAUGUGUAUAUUUGUUAUUGUUUUGGAUAAGACAUUACUAAGUUGUAAAACUUUUGCUUGAUCAUUUUUUUUUUCAUUUUAAACAAUAAACAUAUGUUACACAAAAAGAAAAAUGAGAUUAUGGAUUUUGCUUUAAAGAGAAUUUUCGGCAUUUAGUAGUUUGACUUUUUUUUUAAUUUGAGAAAAGUUUUUUAAAAAAUUAGUUAAUAAUGUUUCUUGAUUAAAUUUACAGCAUGUCCACGGAUUACGAUCAUGUUUUGUAAUGUUGAAUGCUGAUUAACAUAUCGACAAAGUCGCUUUGUUAAAAAGGUUUUUUUCUCGGCAACGACAUAAUGUCACACUGUGCAAAGUUAAAUAGUGGAAAGUGGGUUUGCCUUCAUACUGUCAUUAUGUCAUUCAAAUGUAUCAUGUUACACACUGUCAGGUAAUACUGGUCGUUAUUGAAGUAAAACAUACUCUAUUAGAUGAAGUCCUAGUAUGUUGGAUUAAACCUUUGCUGAAUUUCAAGAAACGAUCCAUAUCAAAAUUCAAAUUUCAACCAUGGAACGACAACAUUGGUGUUCAUUUUGUCUUAUCCCUUUUAAAGAUGAAUUGAGUUUAAGAGCUCAUCUUUAUAUCCAUGAAAAACAGCCACCAGUUUCCUGUAGUCUGUGUCCGUUAACAUUUGUGCAUCAUAGUCAAUUGGGAAAUCAUAUCAGAUAUAAGCAUUCGGAUUAUAUCAUCAACACGUUUGUUGAAAAUGCUGAAAGUAUUUAUAGAAAAAAUAUAACAGACAUUACAACUGAGGUGGAAUCUGAUUCCGAAUGGACAGACAGUUCCGAAGAAGACAUUUCGGAGGAUACAGAUUUUGAAAGUGUGAAAGAGCCCGUUGAAAGCAUUUCGAAUGAAAUAAAAUACAUCUUAGCACAAAAUGUGAAUGAUGCUUCUGACAAUAAAAAUCCUAUAUGCGAAUUUGAUCCGAAAGGAGUCAAUACCAAACAUAUGAAUAUUUCAGAUGGACAUUAUGGCAAUGUAACGAGUUGUGGUGUUUCAUUUCUUGUCAAAUUAGAAAGGGAAAAAGCAGGAAGACAUUAUUUGAAUAUCACAAGAAACAUUCCUAAUUCAGAAGAUAACUCUCAACGACACAUAUUACAACAGCACAUGAAGUCGGCGUUCUUCAAUUCAGAUGACAGUGUGUGUACUAACCGACCAAGUUAUAAUUUCAGUGAUGAAAAUACAGACCCUGAUUUACGGGAUGAGUAUCAACAGGAAAAGACUCCAGUACACACAAAAGGAAUUGUACAGCAAAACCCAUGGGUUGAUUUGGAUAGCGAUGACGAAGAGAAACUGGAUUAUGGGGAAAACAAAACUAUGAUAGGCCAAAAUGCUGUUCGCGAUGAAAAAGAAUUCAUACAAAUAAAUGAAGAUCAUGAGCAAACCCCGUGGGUUGAUUUUGAUAGCGAAGAUGAAGGCAAACUGGAUUAUGGGGAAAACAAAGCUAUGAUAGGCCAAAAUGGUGCUCACGAUGAAGACGAAUUAAUACGAGUUCAUGAAGAUCAUGAGGUGGAAGAAUGUUCUUAUGCUGUACAUUAUUUAGUAUUUUGAGCUGACAUAAUGCAAUGCUAUGUUAUUCUAUAUGAACAAAGUAACUUGUUGUCCGACAAUACGAUAGACAUUUUUGGCAGAAUUGAGAAUGGAUUCUAAUAUCGAUUUGUUACUCGUUUGGGGAAUAGUUCCAAAUUUGGCGGGUUGUCACCCAACUGUUGACAACAUUCAAAAUUGGUUGAAAGCAACUACAAAUUAAUAACUAUGGCUUUGAUAAAUCCAAGCUCGCAGUAGCAGAUGUGGUAUAUAGUCCGGAACAAGGAGUAUGGAAGGAGGCUAUCGACAUACUAAAGGCUACUUUUAUGAAAAAGAAGAAAAGAGCUAGGAAAAGAGGACGGUUCGCUACAACAAAUACAGUUUCGUUCACAAAGUGGUUACCCGCUAAUUUUCCUGUGGAAGGUGUUAUGUGUGGUUGUGGAAGAAACCUUAAAACACCGAAAUCGCUUUUAGGUCACUUACGAAGAAAAAGCUCCACCGCCCGUAAAAAUGUAAAGUUAUUUAGAAAGGGAAUAUAAUCAAAACACUUUACAUGCCUUUGGAGACGUUACAUAGUGCCAUGCAUAUCUUAUUUAAAACACAUUAAUGACGGCUGAACAUUGUAGAAUAUAAAAGUGCGAUAUAUUUACAAUUCUUUAACUAGAUUAAUACUACGGAGGAUAUGUCUUAUUUUUGACACUAUUUCAUAGACGCUUUUUAAAAAGCAAACUCAAAUGUCAUGAAACAGUUAGCGAAUAAUAAGAUAAAAAUAAAAAGUUGCAUCAUGUUCUUUUAUCCUUCAUUACAUCUCAUGAAAUCAGUACACUUGCAACUUAUUAUCGAUUAUAAUAACCUAACUACAAACACAACAGAUUAAAAGAAAAGAACAAUGAACUGUUUAUCCUUCCGUUUUCCUGAAUUCACCUUUCAUUGUGUUUGAAACGAGUUCAUGCAAUCUGAUUAAUAUACAGACUCGGUGUGUCCGAUAUUUUCUGACUAUGAUCUGAAAGCGCUCCAUUCUACUUUCAGUUUAAAUACCUUUCGGUGUCGUUUGCUUUUUUUCCGGAUUGUUAUUGAUGUGUUUGAGCUUUUGAUGUUGCCAUUUGAUAAAGGACUUUCUGUUUUGAAUUUUCAUUGGAGUUCGGUAUUUUUGCUAUUUUACUUCUUACACACUUUCGAAAUAAGGAUGGCUGACAUUUCAUUGGCUGAUGUAAUAAGUACCAGGACAGAAAUAAAACGGAUUGUGUCAGAUCCUUGUAAGCAAAGCUUAAACACAAAAUAUUAUGUUAAGCCGAUCGGGGACGAUGUUGCGUUUUUGUUAGGUAAUUAAUGGGUUAAAUGAUAUUUUAUUUCAGAAUGUAUUUUUUUCUUUCUUCUUGUCAUUCAUUGUCUUUGAAAAUCGCGUUUUCUUUUCAAUUUUUCACAUUCUGCCAUCAUAAGGGACGGAUAAUUUAUACAACAAAUAAUCUUUUGAUUAAGAUAAGAGACGGUAAGCAAUCUGUUAUUAUGUGAUAUGGUAUAAUUGCCAAUGAGACACACUAUCCAACAUAGAGCAAAUGAAGUGGAAGCAAACAACUAUAGGUCAUCGUUAAUCCUUGAACAAUGGGCAACACCCAAACCGCAUAGUAAAAGAAAGGCCAAAGAUACCACAGGCAACUACAAGACUAAAAACAGUACACAAAACAUUAACAGAGAAAACGAAAGACUGCGAAACAAUGAUUCCGUCAAGAAACGGGGAGCUCUCAAUAAAAAAAAAAACUUAACUUGAUAGACGAUCAAACAAUAAACUAAAUACAAAUAUAUAAGACUGCAACAAACGAUUACAAUUCCAUUGAAUUACAGAAUCCUUCUUGGGAAAGACACAUACAAUAUGCAGUAGGAUUAAACAUGUUCGCGAGUGUAACACCCAUGACCUUCAACAGUUAUGUAACAGGACACCAUAUGAACAAUCUGCAAAAAUCAUUUGGAAAUGGUUUGAUUUAAAAUAGGCAUCAAUCACAAAAAUCUACUAACAAAAAAGAAAAAGAAAAAGAAAAAAAAAAAAAAAAAAAACAAA